GUUGAGAUGGCCGAGUUGGUCUAAGGCACUACAUUAAAGUUCUGGUCCAAAAGGGCAUGGGUUCAAAUCCCACUCUCAACA
rnacentral:tRNA from 1 species